GCUGGACAGAUCAGGCUCCCCGGCUAGCAAAUCAGGCCGCAAGCUUCUCUGCAUCUUCUCUGUUAUUGAGGAAUGGCAAACUCGACAUCAUGUGUAAUCCCCCCACCCCACCCCCAUGAGGAGCAGUGCAGUCCGGUGAGGACCAUCAUGUGAGAAGGUACAAGUGCACUUUGGGUACUGCAAGCGAAGCCUGUUCAGUAAUGGAUAAGACUGAAGGGACUUCUCCGCUUGAGGAUCAUUCAUACUAUGGUGAAUUUCAUGUUGGUGCCAGGCGCUGGAUUGAGUCAUGGAGGUUAGUGUCCUUGGCCCGCAGAGCACAGGUUGGGACUCCAGAACCCUGCCUUGUUGAGCCAGACA